rnacentral:rRNA from 1 species
AUGGCUGCCACGGCGUACUCCGUGGCCCUCCUCGGAGGGGCACGCCUCCCCGCCGCCACCGGCAACGCCGCCCCCCGCUCCUCCGCCCUCCUCCCGCGGCGCAACUUCCACCCUCUCCGCCUCCAAGGUGCACAUGCAUAUGCGCCCAGGCCGUCCCUGCUCCGCGUGAAGGCCGCCUCCGACGACACGUCGGCGAGCGGCGACGAGAUCAUCGAGGACCUCAAGGGGAAGUGGGAGGCGAUUGAGGACAAGCCCACCUUCCUCCUCUACAGCGGCGGCGCCGUCGUGGCUCUCUGGCUCACCACCGUCGUCGUCGGCGCCAUCAACUCCGUGCCGUUGCUCCCCAAGCUCCUGGAGCUGGUUGGGCUCGGCUACACCGGGUGGUUCGUCUACCGCUACCUCCUCUUCAAGGAAAGCAGGAAAGAGUUGGCCACCGACAUCGAGAGCUUGAAGAAGAAGAUCGCCGGAACAGAAUAA